UGCAAACUGAUGCCCAGAGCUUUCUGACA
rnacentral:piRNA from 1 species